GAUGAACGCUGGCGGUGUGCUUAACACAUGCAAGUCGAACGAAGCAUUUAAGACAGAUUACUUCGGUUUGAAGUCUUUUAUGACUGAGUGGCGGACGGGUGAGUAACGCGUGGGUAACCUGCCUCAUACAGGGGGAUAGCAGCUGGAAACGGCUGGUAAUACCGCAUAAGCGCACAGUACCACAUGGUACAGUGUGAAAAACUCCGGUGGUAUGAGAUGGACCCGCGUCUGAUUAGCUUGUUGGCGGGGUAACGGCCCACCAAGGCGACGAUCAGUAGCCGACCUGAGAGGGUGACCGGCCACAUUGGGACUGAGACACGGCCCAGACUCCUACGGGAGGCAGCAGUGGGGAAUAUUGCACAAUGGAGGAAACUCUGAUGCAGCGACGCCGCGUGAGUGAAGAAGUAGUUCGCUAUGUAAAGCUCUAUCAGCAGGGAAGAUAGUGACGGUACCUGACUAAGAAGCUCCGGCUAAAUACGUG
rnacentral:rRNA from 1 species